rnacentral:rRNA from 4 species
CUAUAUAAUAGUUAAAACUUUCAACAACGGAUCUCUUGGUUCUGGCAUCGAUGAAGAACGCAGCGAAAUGCGAUAAGUAAUGUGAAUUGCAGAAUUCAGUGAAUCAUCGAAUCUUUGAACGCACAUUGCGCCCCGUGGUAUUCCGCGGGGCAUGCCUGUUCGAGCGUCAUUAUGACCCAU